AAGUAUCCAGGGAUGGGAAUCGAACCCACAGUGUUCCGCUUACCGGGCAGAUGCCAUCUCCACUAGGACAUAAUACC